UACGUAGGGUGCAAGCGUUAAUCGGAAUUACUGGGCGUAAAGCGUGCGCAGGCGGUGAUGUAAGACAGAUGUGAAAUCCCCGGGCUCCAACCUGGGAACUGCAUUUGUGACUGCAUCGCUGGAGUAGGCGAGAGGGGGAUGGAAUUCCGCGUGUAGCAGUGAAAUGCGUAGAUAUGCGGAGGAACACCGAUGGCGAAGGCAAUCCCCUGGGCCUGUACUGACGCUCAUGCACGAAAGCGUGGGGAGC
rnacentral:rRNA from 1 species